GAACAUAUUUUAGCAUUUAUCAAAUCCUCCAGAAUUUUGCAAUUUUUUGUGAUUUUUUCCAAUAAAAACGCCAGAUUUUGUUGUGCUAAUUUAGAAAUAUUUGCAAGAAAUUUUGCAAUAUUUGCGCCUAUGUAUGACAUUAAAUUUGACUUUUCUUCCCUUGCUAACUUCACAUUACGUAUGGCUGAUUCAGCAGUGGAGAAAAAGUACAAAACACUGCCACCUAUAGGUGGGAUUUAACAUUACAUAAACUCAAUAUUUUUAAUAAAUUUUUUACAAUUUAUGCAGUAAAUUUGUAAUCAAUUCAAAUUAUUCACAAUUAUUCUUUAUGAAUUUCUGCAAAAAAACUGAUUGAUGUAAUUUGACGCAUAGUGGGCGACACAAAAAGCUACGGUGGUCAAGAUUUGGAGUUUGAAACAUGUGCACUAGGCAUUGUUAAAAAAAUGAAUACGCCAAUUAGACAAGCAAUUAGACAUGGAAAGAAGCGUAGUUUGUGUGUGAAAGACACAUCAAAUGUUGCACGUUUUUGGCCCUCCUGGAUUUCAAUACAAGAGGAGCAGGAGACCAAGCAGCUGAGUGUGAAUUUUUGUGAGAUUUAAAUGUACACACCACAAAUUAUUCUUUGCUUAAAUAGAUACAUGCUCUCACGUCAGUCUCAGUGCAGCUCAAAUUUAGUUUUUGAGCAAAACUGGAGGAAAAGCAAGGGUGUUAAAACACCCAGACAUCCCACAAGUGCGACGCCCAUCCCACUGUAGCCUCUCUUCAGCUAACUACAGCGAGUUGAAUUACCAUUCCUCAGAAAAGCGCCCAACCUUUGCUUCGUCGGGAUCUUCUGCCAAAUGUCUCUAGCUGGCAGCAUCACAGGAUCCCUCUGCCACAGCGGGCCGACAGAACCUCAUUCAUCCUUUCAUUAAUCUUCCAUCCCGUUCAGGAUCGCACGGGACGGAUGGGGAGUCUCUAAUUGGGCCAUUCAUGAUAUUUGUUCUCUUUUCUGCUAAUGAGGGAGAGGAAGAAAGAAGCCUGAAGUGGAAAAGCUGCUUUAAAGAAUGAGAAGAAAAAGAAAAAAAUAUGUUUAUGUCUCUUUAAGGAUUGUAAUGGAAUUACACACAACAAACUACCACAAUAUGGGUGAUGUAGUUCUGAUCAACACCUUUCAUUUAUAACUAAAUAUCCCCUUGCAGCGUCUUCCAAAAGCAUACAUACCCCCACUAAAGUACUUCUUUUUUGUUAAAUUCAAAUUUCAAAGCAUUUUGUUGGGCAUUUUGAUUGACAAAAAAAAAGUAACUUAUUUGUAGAGUUUUCUGUGGAAGGUCACUCCAAAAAUGUGUGGACUUUUCAUAGACCAUGUCUAAAAUAUUCUAAGAAAAAACAACAACCUGGGAAGCACAGAUGUCGACAUACCUUGGGCUAUCUCUUGCAAAAGCUAAGAUGGUUUCCAUUGUGCUUGAAAUGCAUAUUAAGGUAUAUUUGGUGUUUGAAUUAUUAAAAUAAGCUGUUAUAAAUUUGAUGUUGAUAACAUUUAGCACACAGAAUUUUCUGUAUAAACUGUAAAGCAACAAUUUGCUUAGCUGUUUUGUAAUAUUUUCUGUUGACAGAAGGUUGACAUCUGUGUUGAGGUUUUGGUUACCGAUUCUUCAUGCUCUUAUUUUGAAGUGCGUCAAGACAGCUCAUGCAGUAGUUCUGUUUCCUCUUUUCUUUCUCUCUCUCUUUUUACCUUUUUUAUUGAGGAAAAGGAGAAUAUACAGCAAAUGAAAGAAUGGGGUAUACAGGAUACAAACACCUAAAUGAACAAAUGUUGGUAUCAGCUUGGUUGAAUUUAGUACUUAGCAGCUAAUGAGGUUUGUGGUUGGAACUUGGCAAAAUGGAAAACGUUCAGUGGGCCAUGAAGACUUUUGCAAGGGAUUGUAUUCCCUCUAAAUAUUUAUACAACAA